ensembl:snRNA Rnu6-588 RNA, U6 small nuclear 588
GUGCUCACUUUGGCAGCACACAUAGGAAAAUUGGAACAAUACCAGGAAGAUUAGCUUGACCCCUGUGCAAGGAUGACAAGCAGACUCAUGACGCGUUCCAUAAUUUU